rnacentral:rRNA from 1 species
GACGAACGCUGGCGGCGUGCUUAACACAUGCAAGUCGAACGGAAAGGCCCUGCUUUUGUGGGGUGCUCGAGUGGCGAACGGGUGAGUAACACGUGAGUAACCUGCCCUUGACUUUGGGAUAACUUCAGGAAACUGGGGCUAAUACCGGAUAGGAGCUCCUGCUGCAUGGUGGGGGUUGGAAAGUUUCGGCGGUUGGGGAUGGACUCGCGGCUUAUCAGCUUGUUGGUGGGGUAGUGGCUUACCAAGGCUUUGACGGGUAGCCGGCCUGAGAGGGGGACCGGCGACAUUGGGACUGAGAUACGGCCCAGACUCCUACGGGAGGCAGCAGUGGGGAAUAUUGCACAAUGGGCGGAAGCCUGAGGCAGCAACGCCGCGUGCGGGAUGACGGCCUUCGGGUUGUAAACCGCUUUCGCCUGUGACGAAGCGUGAGUGACGGUAAUGGGUAAAGAAGCACCGGCUAACUACGUG